rnacentral:rRNA from 1 species
GGGAUUGCCCUAGUAACGGCGAGUGAAGCGGCAACAGCUCAAAUUUGAAAUCUGGCGCAAGCCCGAAUUGUAAUUUGUAGAGGAUGCUUCUGGGUAGCGACCGGUCUAAGUUCCUUGGAACAGGACGUCAGAGAGGGUGAGAAUCCCGUAUGUGACCGGCCCGCACCCUCCACGUAGCUCCUUCGACGAGUCGAGUUGUUUGGGAAUGCAGCUCUAAAUGGGAGGUAAAUUUCUUCUAAAGCUAAAUACCGGCCAGAGACCGAUAGCGCACACGUAGAGUGAUCGAAAGAUGAAAAGUACUUUGGAAAGAGAGUUAAACAGCACGUGAAAUUGUUGAAAGGGAAGCGCCUGCAAUCAGACUUCGCGGCAGUGUUCCGCCGGCCUUCUGGCCGGUUCAUUCUCUGUCGUGAGGCCAUCAUCGUCUCGGCCCGCUGGAUAAGACCUGGGGAAUGUAGCUCACCUUCGGGGGAGUGUUAUAGCUUCGGGUGAUGCAGCGCGGCGGGGGCGAGGUCCGCGCUUCGGCAAGGAUGAUGGCGUAAUGGUUGUCGGCGGCCCGUCUUGAAACACGGACCAAGGAGUCUAACAUCUAUGCGAGUGUUCGGGUGUCAAACCCCUACGCGUAAUGAAAGUGAACGGAGGUGGGAACCGCAAGGUGCACCAUCGACCGAUCCUGAUGUCCUCGGAUGGAUUUGAGUAAGAGCAUAGCUGUUGGGACCCGAAAGAUGGUGAACUAUGCCUGAAUAGGGUGAAGCCAGAGGAAACUCUGGUGGAGGCUCGCAGCGGUUCUGACGUGCAAAUCGAUCGUCAAAUUUGGGUAUAGGGGCG